CUUAACAGACAAGCUAUACCUCCCAACAAAAUUAUGGAUUGUUUUUGUAAUAUUCACGAAUGUUAACACACAACAUCCCACAAUAGCAAAAACAAUAUUCCAAACCUUAGAUACAGUAUAAAAACCUCUGCUUCUGCAAUGAUAUCAGUUCAAAUUAUUCGCAUCUUUCAACAAACCAACAGAAUGCAACAUCUUCCACCCUCUGGGGGAAGAGGAAAGAUCCUCAAUAAUGAUCAAGAGCGUGCCAUUGUAGAAAUGGUUGUUGCAAAUAAUGCAAUAAAACUGCAUGAAAUUAAAACUAGAAUUGUGGAGGACCAUGAGAUAUUUGGCAAUAUAGAAAGCAUCAGCCUCAAAACCAUUAGACGGACAUUGUCCAAACACAGAGUGCGGACGAAGCAGCUCUACACUGUUCCCUUUGAGAGGAACAGUGAGAGAGUCAAGGAGCUACGACGACAAUAUGUCCAGAUGAGGCCGGAUUCAAUCUAUCCAAAAGGCGUCGACGUGGACGAAAUAUAAUUGGAAAAAGGGCCACAGUUGAUGUGCCAGGACAGAGAGGGGCAGACAUUACCAUGUGUGCAGCCAUGGCAAAUGCAGGAUUACUCCUUCACAGAUGUCAGGUUGGAACCUAUGAUGUCAUGAUCUCCACCAGCGCCUGGUACCAGAGCAGGAUCAGGAGGGUGAAGACAUGAGGACAUUUGUAAUUACCUGAGACAAAGUUGCUUUCCAUCAUUCGCAAGCAAUAACAGCAUGGUUUGAAGUCCACCCAAGACUGGUAAGUCUCUUCCUUCCACCCUAUUCACCUUUCCUCAACCCCAUAGAGGAGUUCUUUUCUGCAUGGAGGUGGAAGGUUUAUGACCAUCAGCCACAUGACCAGAUGUCCCUCCUUGAAGCCAUGGAUGCUGGCUGCAGGGACAUCACAGUUCAAGAUUGCCAAGGGUGGAUCCGACAUACCAAGCGAUUUUAUCCCAGGUGCAUCGCCUUGGAUGAUAUCAGAUGUGAUGUUGACGAAAACAUGUGGCCUAACCCUGAAGAUCGCAGGGAUUAGAUACAUUACAGUAAUUUUGUGCUAUUUUUAGUCCCCCCCCCCCCCCCUUCUUAUCUGGGCUUUUCGCUGUUUUGUUUUUUGUUUAGUUU